rnacentral:rRNA from 1 species
UACGUAGGGUCCGAGCGUUGUCCGGAAUUAUUGGGCGUAAAGAGCUCGUAGGCGGUCCGUUAAGUCGGAAGUGAAAUCUCAAGGCUCAACCUUGAAAUCGCUUUCGAUACUGGCGGACUUGAGGCAGGUAGGGGAAGGUGGAAUUCCUGGUGUAGCGGUGAAAUGCGCAGAUAUCAGGAGGAACACCGGUGGCGAAGGCGACUUCCUGGCCUGUUCUUGACGCUGAGGCGCGAAAGCUAGGGGAGCAAACGGG